rnacentral:rRNA from 1 species
CCUACGGGAGGCAGCAGUGGGGAAUAUUGGGCAAUGGAGGAAACUCUGACCCAGCGACGCCGCGUGCGGGAUGAAGGCCUUCGGGUUGUAAACCGCUUUUCAGCAGGGAAGAAGCGAAAGUGACGGUACCUGCAGAAGAAGCACCGGCUAACUAUGUGCCAGCAGCCGCGGUAAUACAUAGGGUGCAAGCGUUGUCCGGAAUUAUUGGGCGUAAAGAGCUCGUAGGUGGUUCGUCACGUCGGAUGUGAAAAUCUGGGGCUUAACCCCAGACCUGCAUUCGAUACGGGCGAGCUUGAGUAUGGUAGGGGAGUCUGGAAUUCCUGGUGUAGCGGUGGAAUGCGCAGAUAUCAGGAGGAACACCAAUGGCGAAGGCAGGACUCUGGGGCCAGUUACUGACACUGAGGAGCGAAAGCGUGGGGAGCGAACAGGAUUAGGAUACCCUGGUAGUCCACGCCGUAAACGGUGGGCACUAGUUGUGGGGACCUUCCGCGGUCUCUGCGACGCAGCUAACGCAUUAAGUGCCCCGCCUGGGGAUACGAUCGCAAGNUUAAAACUCAAAGNGUAGUAGACGUGAGAGUAGCGACGAGACACAGGAGGUAGG